rnacentral:misc_RNA from 1 species
AUUUAAAAAUUCAUUAUUUCGACAAACCCUUUUUGUUGGUUUUGGUUUUUUUUAAUGAGUGCUGUUGUCAGUGUCAAAAGACGCUGUUUUGGUUACCAUAAGACCACGAGCUAUCUUUUUUAAUGCUUUGUGCUUUUUAGCAAAGUGAUUUCUUACAAAUAAGAUUCUAGAAAAAAAGAAUAAAUGAGUUUGCUUUGUAUACAUUCUCGAUACAUGUAUUUGUUGUUAUGUUUAUCAUUUUAUGAAAAAUAGUUCACUGUCAGCUGUUUUUCAUGAAAAAUAAAGCAAACAAUUUUUUUAACCAUGCUUAUUAUAUUGCUAACGUCUGCCAAUAAUUUUGUAUCAACCGUUGUGUACAAUUCAAUUAUCAUAAAUACAAGAGUAUAUUACAAG